AAAUUGUCGCAAUAAAUAGGUUGGCUGACAGUCACUUUCGCACAUUUUUAUUAGAAUACGUUCUUUACUAUGAAUGUAGUCAAAAAUAUCGUCUUUAUUAUUGUUUUGCUAUUCGUAGUGAAUAUGGUCAUUGUUGAUGCGAGAAGUCAUAGAUUGAAGAAAUUACUCAAAAAAGCUGGAAAACUAACCAAAUCGGUUCAAAGAUUUCAGAAUGCAGCACAAGCUAUUAGAGCUAUUGGAACCGUUGCAACAGUUGCUGCAGCAUAAAUUGAACACGAAAGCGGCUACAAUUUUGUUCACAUAUAUUACGUUGUAAACACAUUUUUAUUUGAAAUGAAGUGUAAUCAUACAUUUUAGUCAGCAAUAUUGGAUUUUCCCACGAUUUUGGACAUUGACAUUUAGUGAAAGCUCAAUUUUUCUCUAAACUGUGGGAAUAUAGUCUUCUUUUAAUAAUCUUCAAAUCAUUUUGUGAUAAAUAAACUCUAUGUAGAACAGUU